CCCGCUGAAUUUAAGCAUAUCACUAAGCGGAGGAAAAGAAACUAACCAGGAUUCCCCUAGUAACGGCGAGUGAAGAGGGAUUAGCCCAGCACCGAAGCCUGCGGCAGUUUUGCUGUUAGGCAAUGUGGUGUUUGGGUCGGCUCGUGGGAUUGCCACUCCAUUCGAAGUCCAGCAUUGAGUAUGGUCACUGGAUUUGGCCCAGAGAGGGUGAAAGGCCCGUACGAAUGGAGGUUCAGACAAGUAAGGCAGUUCACCAGGCCGGCCUUAGAGUCGGGUUGUUUGAGAAUGCAGCCCAAAGUGGGUGGUAAACUCCAUCCAAGGCUAAAUACUAGCACGAGUCCGAUAGCGAACAAGUACCGUGAGGGAAAGUUGAAAAGUACUUUGAAGAGAGAGUAAACAGUACGUGAAACCGCAUGCAGGUAAACGGGUGGCGUCAAGCUGCAAGCCCGGAGGAUUCAGCUGGCUAGGAUGUUGUAUAUGCGCCUGGCGCAUCUAUCAGUCGGAGUAGGAUGUGUUAGUCCACUGGGAUACGGUGGGCCCGGCCGCAAGGUUGGGAUAUGUGUACCGGGUGUUUGCCGGAGCAUGCUAUCCAUCUGUUGGACUGUCUAGUCAGUGCACUUUCUCUGUGGUGAACACCACGACCGGUGGUAUUGCCAGUCUGCUGUAGCCAAGUCGUAUUCAGUGGGUUCUUGUAAUCAACUGGGUGCGAUCACAGGCAAACUCAGUAAACGGCGUAGGGGUGUUUCGGCAUCUCUGCGUGUUAUCGGCUACUGGUUGUCAACGGGCCUGCCUGAUGAUUGUUGUAAUCGUCGUCGGGUGGUCUGGUGGGUUAUGGUGGUAUGAAUAACUGUGCAAGGCACCGGAGUUCUCGGCCUCAGAUGCAUCCUGCGCACACAUUACAAGUGGAGCGGGGUGCCAUUGUAGCCUGCCUAAUGUUGGGUCUGAUUGUCGUGUCGCCUGCGAAAAGUGGGCCCGGCAGUGGCCUGAUGUGGGAUGGGUUGCGGAUGGUGCCUCCUGUGUAGGGUGCUGUUGGCCAAAUAGUCAGUGGUGUAGUGGUAGACGAGCUACCCGACCCGUCUUGAAAACACGGACCAAGGAGUUUAACAUGUAUGCAAGUCAAAGGGCCCUACGAAACCCCAAGGCGCAGUGAAAGUAAAGCUUCGACCUGUUCUCGGAGUGAGGUGAGAUCCUGCCGUUACUCGCAUCAGCCUUAUGUCAGCAUCAGGCUAAGAGCGGUGGGCGCAUCACCGGCCCGUCCCAUGAUGUGGUCAUUGGAUUUCUGUAGUCGUUGCUUGCAGCGGCUGUGGAGCCAGUGCGUCAUCGGGGCGGAGCAUGAGCAUACAUGUUGAGACCCGAAAGAUGGUGAACUAUGCUUGCGUAGGUUGAAGCCAGAGGAAACUCUGGUGGAGGACCGCAGCGAUUCUGACGUGCAAAUCGAUCGUCAAACGUGAGUAUAGGGGCGAAAGACUAAUCGAACCAUCUAGUAGCUGGUUCCCUCCGAAGUUUCCCUCAGGAUAGCUGGCGCUCAUUCGCAUGAUCAGUUUUAUCCGGUAAAGCGAAUGAUUAGAGGUACUGGGUUCGAAACGAGCUCAACCUAUUCUCAAACUUUAAAUGGGUGAGAUGCCCGGCUCGCCUAAUAGGAGUCGGGCGUUGAAUGUGUGAGUGCCAAGUGGGCCAUUUUUGGUAAGCAGAACUGGCGCUGUGGGAUGAACCAAACGCUCGGUUAAGGUGCCUAACGCGACGCUCAUGAGAUACCACAAAAGGUGUUGGUUAAUAUAGACAGCAGGACGGUGGCCAUGGAAGUCGGCAUCCGCUAAGGAGUGUGUAACAACU
rnacentral:rRNA from 1 species